rnacentral:lncRNA from 1 species
UUGAAGUCCUUAUAAAAUCAUUUCUCUUGAGGGUGGGGUGGUCGGGGAGGGGGCGACAGAAGGUGGACACAGAUAAAAGAGUGAAGGAAUUCCAAGCUGAAAGGUGACAAGCAUGCUGAGCCACAUCUAGCACUACCUCUCCUCAGUGAAGUGACUGGGGAAGCCAAAUGGAUGAUCCACCACCUGGACAACUUCUUGAGCAACUGGUCUCAGAGAAUGCCAUUUUACCCAUCGUGUUCCGACACUAGGGGAGCCACGGGAAGAGUUUGUGGCCAAGGAAAAGGCCCAUAGACCGAGAUUCAGGGGAUACAUAUGCCGGUUUGCUACAUGGAUAUUGUGUGAUGCUGAGGUUUGGAGUACAAUUGAGCUCAUCACCCAGGAAGUGACUAUAGUACCCAGAAGUUUUUCAACCCUUGUCUGCCUCCUUCUCCCACCUCUAAUAUUCCCCAGAAUCUAUUGUUGCCUUUUUUAUGUCCAUGAGUACCCAAUGUUUUGCUCCGUCUUGUAAAUAAGAACAUGUGGUAUUUGGUUUUCUGUUCCUGAGUUAAUUUGUCUAGGAUAAUGGCCUCAAGCUGCAUCAAUGUUGUUGCAAAAGACAUGAUUUCAUUCUUUUUUAUUGCUGUGUAGUAUUCCAUGAUGUAGAUGCAGCACAUUUUCUUUACCCAGUCCACCACUGAUGGGCAUGUAGGUUGAUUCUAUGUCUUUGCUAUUGUGAAUAGUGCUGUGACGAAAAUGUGAGUGCAUCUGUCUUUUUGGUGGAACAAUUUCUUUUCUUUUGGAUAUACACUCAGUAAUGGGAUUGCUGGGUUGAAUAGUAUAAAUUGGUGCAAAAGUAAUUGCAUGUUUUGCCAUUGAAAAUCAUGGCAAAACCCUCAAUUACUUUUGCACCAACCUGAUAGUUCCAAGUUCUUUGAGAAAUCUCUGAACUGCUUUCCUCAGUGACUGAACUAGUGUGUAUUCCCACCAGCAGUGUAUAAGUACUACCUUCUCUACACAGCCUUACCAGUAUCUAUUAUUUUUUGACUUUUUAGUAAUAGCCAUUCUGACCAGUGUGAGAUGAUAUCUCAUUGUGGUUUUAAUUUGCAUUUCUCUGAUGAUUAGUGAUGUUGAUUUCUUUUAAUGCUUUUUGGCCACUUGUAUGUCUUCUCUUGAGAAAUGUUUGUUCAUGUGAUGAACUCUGAUGGAAUGCACUAUUUAUAAAUUUCUCUAUGUGUUUAAUUAAAUAUUUUGUUUUUUUGCAUUUGGGGGCUAUGUUUUUGAACACACACAAGUUCAGCUUUGUUAUAUUUUCCUAUGAAUUUUUUGUUAGCAGUAUAUAAGUAAUCCUUUUGCUUAUAUUUUAUACAUGGCAUGCAUAUUUUAUACAUGAUUGUGUUAGGCCAUUCUAGCAUUGCUAUAAAAGAAUACUCAAGAUGGGGUAAUUUGUAAAGAAAAGAGGUUUAAUUGGCUCUCAGUUCUGCAGGCUGUACAAGAAGUGUGGCACCAGCAUCUGCUUCUGGUAAGGGCCUCAGGGAGAUUUUACUCAUGACAGAAGGCAAAGGAGGAGCAGACACAUUCACAUGGCAAGGGCAGGAGUGAGAGAGGGAGCAAGGGCAACAACUGACUCUUGAGUGAACUCAUUACUGUACGGAUGGAACCAAGCCGUUCAUGAAGGAUCCACUCUCUUGACCCAAACACCUCCCACCAGGCCCCAUCUCCAACACUGGGGAUUACAUUUCAACAUGAGAUUUGGAUUAUUCAUGAUGUAUCCCUUCUUUCUUUACUUUAAGUUUAUUACUUAUCUUACAUGAUUUUCUCAAAUCUUUAUUGUUUAUUAUUUCUGUGGGUUGAUCAAAUUUGUAUUCAAUUUAUGUUUUUAAUGACCUUGUUUUAGAAUUUCUGAUGAUGUAAUUUUACAUUUCAUCAAUGGCUGACUUUUCUUUCUUUGCUCACAUGAUCAAUCAAAAAUAACCCAAACAUGUCCCCCUAAAUUUCAGUUUACCAUUUAAUAUGCUCUAAUUUUUCCUUAUUUUUCUGCCAUCCCAAUAUCAUAAGAAUGUUAGAAAACUUUCACCAUCCUUUUCCUAUAACUUUUCUUCCUACCCCCAUGAGAACUUUAGAAUGUUUUACUUCAUCUUCUCUUUGUCCACUCCACCCUAACUUACAUCAAGAAUUUAGGGAGUUGUGCCAUAUUUUUAUCCUCUGUAACAGUUUUUUCAGAUAGGUAUUAUAUGUUACCCGAAGAUUACAUAUAAUUUGCCAAGAAAAACAUUGUUGUCUGGUGUUUUUCAGGACUAUUUCUUUCUCUUUUCUUUGUUAAUGAUAAGUGGAUUUAAAAAUACAAAUUUAGUUUUUUAAAGUUAAAUUAAUAUUUUUCCAAUAAAUUAUUUAAGUGUUAUCUCAGUAUUAAAAUUUACCAAAGAUAAAAUUAUUCAUGUAUUCUUCUGUGGUUAAAAAAAUCUCUAUUAUAAAUAUAAUGCCCACUUUUCACCAAUCACUUUUAUCAGAGGUUUGUUCAUCUUCGUAGACAACGUUUGGGGUUUGCAUUUGUUGGCUGGUCCUAUAUAUUUUGUUUUGUUUACUUUCUUUUUCUCUUGUCAAUAUUUUCUUUCUCCUACAUUUAGGUUUGUUUUGUUUCUUAACUAUGAGUUGUUGAUUACUCAUUGUUUUCAUCCUUUCUUUUCAUGUUAGUAUUUAACAUUAUACCUUUUACUAUGGACAGUUUUGUAGCUGCAGGUUACAUUUUUUUAAUAUAGUAUGGUCAUCAUUGUUAUGUUCUAGUUUCUAAUGUACGUUUUAAUUUUUUCUUAGAGUCAAAAUAAUCUGGAAGAGGGUUUUGAUACUGAUAUAUAUUAAAUUAAUAUAUAUAAAUGAUUAUAUUAUUUGAUAAAACUUACUGUGAAUUAUUAAGUGUUCAAUAUUUAUAUAUAUUCCAUGUGUGUUUGUAAAGACUGUGUACCCUCAAUUACUGGGUGCAGAGUUGUGCAUCUGUUCAUUAGAUAAAGCUUAUAAAUCAUAUUUUUCAAAUAAUAUAGGUUCAUAUCAAUUAAUUACUGGAAGAGGUAGGCUAAAAUGUCCAACUCUGAUGGAAUUUCUCUAUGUGUUUAAAUAUUUUGUUUUUGCAUUUGGGGGCUAUGUUUUUAAGCUCAUACAAGUUCAUCUUUGUCGUAUUUUCCUAUAAAUUUUUCCUGUUAGCAAUAUAUAAGUAAUCCUUUUGCUUAUCAUUAUGCUGCUGGAAUGUAUAUUUUAUUAAUAAGGCUUUAUUUAUUUAUUUAUUUAUUUUUGAGACAGAGCCUCACUCUGUCACCCAGGCUAGAGUGCAGUGGCACGAUCUCAGCUCACUGCAAGCUCCACCUCCCGGGUUCACGCCAUUCUCCCACCUCAGCCUCCCAAGUAGCUGGGACUACAGGUGCCUGCCACCACGCCUGGCUAAUUUUUUUUGUAUUUUUAGUAGAGACGGGGUUUCACCAUAUUAGCCAGGAUGGUCUCGAUCUCCUGACCCCAUGAUCUGCCUGCCUUGGCCUCCCAAAGUGUUGGGAUUACAGGUGUGAGCCACUGCACCCGGCCAAUAAGGCUUCAAUAGCUUUGCUUGGUAGUCUUUUUUUUAGUCUAUCAUUCUCUAUCUCUUUAUUAUAUUCAAUGUAUUUUGAUGUGUCUCUUAUAAACAUUGCAAGGAUUUGUUAAAAAUCUUAUCAAACAGGAAUGACUUUCACUUUUACCCAUACAAAACAUAAAGCUAAAAGAUUGGACAAAAUAUGUGAAGCAAUGAUUUCCAGACAGUGGACUUUGGACAUUGACAGUGCAAGCCUUUAAUCCCUAACAGAAGAGAAUCUCACGAGAUGACUCUCACUUCAUGCUAGCUCUGUGCCUGGAGAAAAUUUUCUGAGCACAAAGAGGUAGAAUGCAACCAGAAAGAAAACUGUGGCCCUACUGAACUGAGGAAGAAGAGGUCAGAGUUCUGGAAUCAGAAAGAGCAAGUAGGAAGGGUGCUGCACCUAAGGACUCUAGAUCCUUGGUUUGGGACUGGGCCUCACACAUGUAAUGUGAGGCUCUUGAGACUGAGGAGGACUGCUGUUCGGUCAGGAUCAGAAGGAAUAUGCUAGAGUUCAAGCCACCAUGCAAGAUCCGUGAGCAACUCCUUAGGUGAAUUGUGAAAGACAGCCAGAUGGCUGUGCUCCAUUUCUCAACCUCCUCUGCAGCUAGGUGUAGCCAUAUGACUGCCUUUCCAAUGAAAUUGAAGUAGAACUGAUGAGUACAAUCUCUGCG